rnacentral:rRNA from 1 species
CCCUUAGAUGUUCUGGGCUGCACGCGCGCUACACUGACGCACACAACGAGUCUCCUAGCUCGAGAGGGCUGGGUAAUCAUUUGAGAGUGCGUCGUGAUGGGGAUAGAAUAUUGUAAUUAUUACUCUUCAACGAGGAAUUCCUAGUAAGCGCGAGUCAGCAGCUCGCGUUGAUUACGUCCCUGCCCUUUGUACACACCGCCCGUCGCUACUACCGAUUGAACGUUUUAGUGAGGUAUUUGGACUGGACCUUCGGAGGUUCGCGCCUCCGUUGCUGUUCGGGAAGACUCCCAAACUUGAGCGUUUAGAGGAAGUAAAAGUCGUAACA